ACAGUAUUGGAUAAACCUUCUCUUUUCCUUUUAUCUCUCUCUCUCUCUCUCUCUCUCUCUCUGAGCUGUAUAAUAUUAGACGAACUCUGCUUUGAUCAGAGAAGACUCUGUUGCUGUUGUUUUCAUCAGAAUCAGGAUUCUAUUCCAAGAUGAUGGAGUUGUUCUUACUCGGUUGCACCGGAGUUGUGGUGUUUCUUCACGGCGCCAAUUUCUUCUUCCACGUUCUCUCGCAGCAUCUUGUUGUUCGUUCCCUCAGUUUCUUGGGAUUUGUUGGGUGGUAGAGAUGAGAUGAAGAAGACAAUAUACUUGUUGGCAGAUUCAUGGAGGUAUAUAGAGACUAUAUAUAACUUAGUUCUUUUUUUUAUGUUACCCAGAAUGGGAAAUAAGUUGUAAGUAAGGCUUUGUUGAACAUCAUAACUUAUAAUUAUUAUUUUUUAGAUUUGUUCUGUGAUCUCAGUUUUUGUUUGUAAAGUUUCCAUAUCAUUCUGUGCUGAUGAGUGUUGAGAUAGGUUCUUUAAUGGUGCCAUUGGAUGAAAAUAAUGAAAUCCUGAUCUCACUGAUUAUCAGUCUUAAACUAAACCCUUCUGUUUGAGGGGAGGAUUUUGGAUCCAAUUCAUGGAAAACACAAUCUCAUACCCAAUAAGAGAUAACUAAAUCUUACAA